ACCAUAGUCAGCAUCACGAACACGUCGAGACAGCCUACGUGUCUUGAUAGUUGAUUUCUAACGUUCUUUUUAUUUUUCUUUAAAAAUUCAAAAUGCUCGCCGUAAAAAAAAUUUUUCAUCCGUCGUAACGUCGAACGCGUAACGUCGUAAACAUAAGAACGAAUAAAUAAUCGAUAAUUGAAAUAAUAUCAUGAGAAUAUAGUAAAUGAUAAAUGAAAUUAUUAUAUAUAUCGGAUGAUUAAUUUACAAUCAGAAAAUGGCGACGGACGCUAUUAUUAAUAAUUCGUCGUGCACGACAAAUGGCGGUAUAAACUUUCGAGAAAGAUAUUAUUAAGGUAAAUAUAAUGAUCGAUAAUAAAUUCGUAUUGAUACUCAUCGAUGAUGAUAAGUUUAAAAUUUAAAAUGGUUUUAUACACUUUCGUGGAAAAAAUUUCGUCCUGUUUCAUGAAGUAAAGAAAAAAGAAAGUAAAAAUAAUAAAAAAUAGUUUACAAAUACAAAAUGGCGGCAGAAUGUUAUCCAUCGUACAGGAAAAGAUUUUCGUUGAAUAAAUUUAUAUUACGUUUGUUUGUAAUAUAUUCGUCGAAAAUUUUUAAACGAAGAUUGAUAAUUGAAAUUUACGUAAAUACGUAAAAUGUAACUGCGAAUAAUGAUUAUGAAGAUGCCAAGUUUACUCAUGUAAAAUUAUCUACGAUCAGGAUUUCGUAAUUCGAGUGGCAUAGUUUUAACCGAUGACGAUGUUUAAAGUCGAACGAAAGAGAGAGAGAGAGAGAGAGAGAGAGAGAGAAAGAAAGAGACAGAGAGGUUAGGUAAUCAAAAUGAUCUUCUUAGCUUAGAUCGCAGUUGGCAGUGCGAAGUGAGAUACGGUACUGUCGAAACAACGCGACGAUCGAUCGAUCGAUCGAUCGAUCACGAAAAACGAUUACAUUAAAAGCGCGAACGAGAGAGAAAGAAGAACGAAACGAAACGAAAAACAAACAAACAAAAAAAAAAUAUAUAUAUAUAUAUAUAUAUAUAUAAAAGUAAAAAAUAAAAAUGGAAGAAAUCUUCACGAUUAUUCGUAAGGGUUUAGAAUUUAUUCGAAAAUUUACAAAAAAUUUCGAUAACAUCGAAAAGGAUCCCUUAGUGAAAAAAACGAGGAAGAAUAAGAAGAAGAAUGAGAAGAAGAAGUGGAAGAACGAACGAAUCGACGAUGAUAAAAAUUCGUAUAAUUCAUUGAGAAAGAAUGGUGAUAAUUGGACAGAGAACUUCCUUACCGACGAACCGAUUCUACGCGAUCUUCUUCUCGUAUGGAGAAGAGACAUUAUUUAGAAUGAAGUGGAAGAGAAGUAUGAUAGCGAUUCGACAGAGGGUAGCUCGAGCGGUUAGUAGCGAUAGAGAGUAAUAGUGUGUAUAUGUGUGUGUGUUGGUGACGGUGGUGGGGAUGAUGGCGAAGGGUUCGGCGUUGGUCGUGUCGAGCGUUCGGUACUCCUCGGUAGUCAGUCGUCCGACAGACGCCGCGCCGUGAGCAUCUAUUGUUGUAAUUAUCUCUUAUUAAAGCUUUUACCCUUUCGAGACAGAAACGGGGGAUACACGAUAACACGUCUAAUUGUCCUAACUUCCCUAGAUCGUUAUUAUCUUCCUAUUCUUCCUUUAUUUCAUUGAUUUUAUCAAAUCAUUUCUCUUUCUCUCUCUCUUUCUCUUUAUUGUUGUUGUCGUCGUCGUUGUGUGUGUGUAUGUGAUCGUAUAAGAGAAUAGAUCAAACGAGAUAUAGAACCAAAAAAAAAAAAAAAAAAAAGAAAAAAAAAAACAAGGAAAGAAAAGGAAGAAAAUUUUAUCAACAAGGAAGGAUCAUCGUGAAGCCUUCGUAUAAGUGCAAGCAAGGUCAUUGCACUUUAACUUGUUCUUGUUGAAUUUCCUCUCUCUCUCUCUCUCUCUCCCUCUUCCUCACACACACCACACACACACACGCACACAAAAGUGCACGUACGCACACACGUACACAAAGAAGAAGAAAAAGAAGCUGAUACCGUUAACUCAAAUCUCGCCGAUCUUUUUAGUUUUUCUCAAUUUUCCACGAAAAAGAAGGAAGAAGAAAAAGAAGAAAAAGAAGAUAAAGAAGAUAGAGAAAAAAAGGUCAAAUUGACAGAAAUUAAAAAGUGCAAUCUUUUUAAUCUUACAUAAAUUUAUCUAUCAUUGAUUAUAUGUAUAUAUACAUAUAUAUAUAUUUAUAUUGGAGUUAAAUUAAUAAAAUACAAUUAAUAUUGAUAUCGAGAGAAGAUAGAAUUAGAGAGGAGGAGGAGAAAGAGGAGGAGGUUUGCACGUAUAUACGUUUGUAUAAAUCUAUUAAAAAGAUGCGUACCGUGAGCGAGGUUAUGAAAAAUCGUGCGAUCAGCUGACUAACCGAACUAUUUGGUGUUACGAGCUACGCCAAAAGGAACAACGACGGACGGUUACGAACGUCCUCCAUUCGGAAGAAUUCUUCUCAAGAAGAACGACGGAGGAGUUUAUCGAGCUGUUCCGUCAUGACGUUCGGGACGCCUUUCCACAACGAGAAAUCUCGUUUUGCCAUCGAUGCUACCAAUAGGAUGAAGCGAUAAUCUUCUCCGAGCGAAUGAAAAUUUAUCCGUCCGAUCAUCAUUACCAAGGCAUGAUGCUAAAUGAGAGACGAAAUGAAAUAUAAUAGAGAACCCCUUGUUAGAGUUAAUAAAUACUAAGAGGAGAAAAAGAAAUCA